GUAGGUUAGAUUAGGUUUGGUUAGGCUAGGUUAGGUUAGGUUUGGCUAUGCUUCGUUAAGUUAGGUGAGGUUAGGUUAGGCUAGGUUAGGUUAGGCUAGGGUAGGUUAUGUUAGGUUUGGCUAGGCUUCUUUAGGUGAGGUUAGGUUAGGUUAGGUAAGGUUUGGCUAGGUUAGAUAAAGUUUGGUUAGGCUAGCUUGGGAUUAAGACACGAGAUAGCCAGUCUUGGGGAGGAGGAAGCACCAGACAGAAGUUAGGGUAGGCUUCUUUGGGUUAGGCUUGGUUUGGUUAGGGGCAGCUGAGGAGUGUGAAGCUCCACCACGUUAGGUUAAAUUUGAGGUAAUAUUUUAGUCAUAUUCUCCCUCACCACCAAAAUUUUCCCACUGUAAAAACUUUAAUAUUUUUUUUCUGAAGGCUACAAAACAAAUCACUCGUUUUCUCAUCCCAGACCCCUAAACACCAACCCUUUCUUCCUUCACACACACACACACACACACACACACACACACACAC